GACGGCCUUCGGGUUGUAAACCUCUUUCAGUAGGGAAGAAGCGAAAGUGACGGUACCUGCAGAAGAAGCGCCGGCUAACUACGUGCCAGCAGCCGCGGUAAUACGUAGGGCGCAAGCGUUAUCCGGAAUUAUUGGGCGUAAAGAGCUCGUAGGCGGUUUGUCGCGUCUGCCGUGAAAGUCCGGGGCUCAACUCCGGAUCUGCGGUGGGUACGGGCAGGCUAGAGUGAUGUAGGGGAGACUGGAAUUCCUGGUGUAGCGGUGAAAUGCGCAGAUAUCAGGAGGAACACCGAUGGCGAAGGCAGGUCUCUGGGCAUUAACUGACGCUGAGGAGCGAAAGCAUGGGGAGCGAACAGGAUUAGAUACCCUGGUAGUCCAUGCCGUAAACGUUGGGCACUAGGUGUGGGGGACAUUCCACGUUUUCCGCGCCGUAGCUAACGCAUUAAGUGCCCCGCCUGGGGAGUACGGCCGCAAGGCUAAAACUCAAAGGAAUUGACGGGGGCCCGCACAAGCGGCGGAGCAUGCGGAUUAAUUCGAUGCAACGCGAAGAACCUUACCAAGGCUUGACAUGGACCGGACCGCCGCAGAGAUGUGGUUUCUCCUUUUGGGGCCGGUUCACAGGUGGUGCAUGGUUGUCGUCAGCUCGUGUCGUGAGAUGUUGGGUUAAGUCCCGCAACGAGCGCAACCCUCGUUCCAUGUUGCCAGCGCGUAAUGGCGGGGACUCAUGGGAGACUGCCGGGGUCAACUCGGAGGAAGGUGGGGACGACGUCAAAUCAUCAUGCCCCUUAUGUCUUGGGCUUCACGCAUGCUACAAUGGCCGGUACAAAGGGUUGCGAUACUGUGAGGUGGAGCUAAUCCCAAAAAGCCGGUCUCAGUUCGGAUUGGGGUCUGCAACUCGACCCCAUGAAGUCGGAGUCGCUAGUAAUCGCAGAUCAGCAACGCUGCGGUGAAUACGUUCCCGGGCCUUGUACACACCGCCCGUCAAGUCACGAAAGUUGGUAACACCCGAAGC
rnacentral:rRNA from 1 species